rnacentral:tRNA from 1 species
GAGAUACCUGUCAUGAAAAAAGCUUCUAACUUAUUUUCAAAGCGGUUAAAUUCCGUUUAUAUCUCU